UGGGGUGUCGCCAAGUGGUAAGGCAGCGGUUUUUGACAUCGCUAUUCGGAGGUUCGAAUCCUUCCACCCCAG
rnacentral:tRNA from 1 species